UGUAUUCCUGUUUUGUAAUGCCUCCAUAAGAAAAGAAAAAAACACACUUGUUUAUUUUGGAAAUCCAUUUGGAGCCAAGUGUGCUUUACUGCGAUUCCAACAGAUCACAUCUCAGUUGAACUGCCAUGGUGGUCAGCUCAUCUUCUGUUUAUUCCACAAUGUGGAACACGACACAGGGCAUGAUACAUCACUUCCUCCCCAGCAGAGGAUCUAACCAGAAGUGCAUCAGACACAAGGUGCACGUUUAACAGAAGAGCCUUCACUGGGUUUAAAGGGUGUUCCACGCCUUUGUCCAAUGUCAGUUUGGACUGGCUACCACCGCACCUGCCAGAUCAAAACUAAAGUACAAGACAGGUGGAUAGAAGACGAAGAAGAAGAAAUGAACCGGACUCGAGUUCAACAAACCAAAUGCAAACCAAAGAUUCUGGGAUUCGAUCGAGUCGGCCACCCAGAGUCUCUCUGUGUCGAGUCUAUUCCCCCUGAGUCCGGCUGCUCUCCUUGGCUAAACCAGGACUCACAAGUAAUUAAUCUGGAUCUAACCAACUAAAUGUGGGAGGCACGAGUGGCAUUUGUGCACUCAGACGGGACUAUCUUCCACACUUUGAAACCGAAUCAGACUUGUCUUGGAGUAAGAGUGACAUUUGUCAGAAGGGUUAAAAUGCUCGAGCAAAAGUGAAUCUUUCAUUAAAAUGCCAUUCUCUGGAAUCUGACUUAUUCUGUAAAUGCGGUUAUGUAUACAGAGGAAUGUCUAAAUCUGUGGGCCUCUGAGCAUUUGCAACAUUGUUACCCAGAGGCCUGUUUGGGUGCAAAUAGUAGAUUUCCAUACACUUUGUUCAUUGUGCAGGUUGGCUUAUAUUCUCAGAUGAUCCAUCAAUAAAAAUUAUAAACUUUUCGGAUUAUUUAGGUACAAUGCAGCAAGAAGUCAGGAGAGAUUCAUGACCGCUCAUAUGUCUUCCAGGAAAAAUUGUGUAUUUAUAUUUUCACUGUAGGAUUAAUAUACUGCAAUCUUAAUCUGCAGUCAGCCUCACAUUAGUGUUUUGCCAAAGCAAGGUCGUUCUGACUUGAACGCGGUACAGAUAAUAGAGGACAUGGUUGGAGUUGAGUUGAAGUUGAAGACUAGUAAAGUCAAUAAACUUAUGAUUCAAUCA